UCAGCUAGAAACGUGGUAACUAAACUAGGAAGAAUUCAAAGCUAUAACAACAUCCUAAAGACUAGGACACUUAUUAACAGAAUAACAAACUCUAAGCCAUAACAGAUUCCGAUUGCUGGUGCGAUUGGCGUGAAGCUCAAAAGCAGGAGCGACUCAAACGCAUUCCUUUACAGCUGAUCCGUCGUCGUCUACACUACACUAACCACGAAAUCACGUCUUUCUUCACUGGCAUGGCGAAAUCACUUACUCGAGAUUACUAAUUCCAGAGAUCAAAGCUUUGUUUCUUGCGAUUCCAAAUCCUGCUAUGAAUUCUUCCCCUUUGCAUUUGUAGUAGCAGUUUUCAAAAAUUAUGUGAAUUUGGAUAUUGAAGCCUCCAUUAACCAAGAGAUUAUUCGGCCAACCAAGAAAUGUUGAAAUGAAGUCUCCUGCUGAAGGCGACAAAAUCAUGCUUAUGGGUUUAGAGCGCCAUUGAAAAAUGACAGUAGCGUUACAACAUUGACAGUAGCUUUAUUCAAUUAUUGUAAUAAAUUUUCACAGAUAUGGUAGUGGCUUUUUAUAACUAUGGAAGUAGUUUUUUACAUAGCUAUGUUAUUGUUGAAUCCUACAUACUUUUUGUAUCAUUGAA